rnacentral:tRNA from 1 species
GGAGAGAUGGCGGAGUGGACGAUCGCGUCCGUCUUGAAAACGGAUGACCGUUGAGGUCCGUGGGUUCGAAUCCCACUCUCUCCG